UACACUUUCUCUUCUCCACCUUAAUCUCCUCCUUCUCUGCCGCCUCUCUCUCCCUCUUUCUUCUCCGGCAGUUUCGUCCGUUCUCGCCAGUUCUCGCCGCCUCCGGCACGGUGAUGGGCGUGGUAGUUAUUUUCCUCUAUCCUUCUCUACUUCUUCCCCUAAAUCUCAAGACACCUAAAUCUUUAGGGUUUUAAUUUUUAUCCUCUUUCGAUUUUAUUCCGUUCGGCGCUCCUUCGACACCGCCUGAGUUGUCGCGCCUUCAUCACGCCUCUACGGUACGAGCUUCGAUCUCUUCCUCUGUUCUGUCUCUCUGACUCUCCCCCUUUCUCUGACUCGCUCACAGCAGCUGUCGCGGCUUAAGCAGCGCCGACGAUCGUUGCCGUAGCCCGCGCCUCCGCCGUGGUGCGUGCAGAUUUGCACCAGGAAGCCAACAACAAUAGUUGCCUCUCAUAAAGGUUUUUAUCCGGCCGGUCUAUUGAAGCAGAUCUGCAAAAUUUUUGAUUCUUUGUUUCGUUAAGGAUUGUGGAAUAUUCGUGGUCGCUUUCUCUGGCAUUGGUUGCUUAAAAAUUUCAAAUUCUUAUUUUUUGUCUGUUUUAUAUUGAUUUGGUUGUUUGUUGUAGGAGAUUCAUAUGUUGCUUUUGUUUAGUGUUUUAGCUGCUAUCAAGGUAGUCUGCCCCCCAUUUUUACUCGCGUUCAUUCUUUCACGUGAGAGAUUUUGGUGCUCAAUUUCGAAUUCUAGGGUUUUUUUGCUAAUUCAUUGUAAAUGGGGGUUUGAAAGUUCCGAAGGCUAAAGGUUUGAUUGCUGCCAUCAGAGACGAGAAUUGCUGCCAUCUUUAAAUUAGCUAGAGGUUUGAUUUUGCCAUUUUCAAUGUAGGAACGAGAAUUGAUCUAUGUUUGUCGCUUUGCUGAAGCUAAAGGAAAGUUAAAUUUAAAGCUGAAGAUUGAAAAUUCCAGAAAUAUUGUAGAAACGUCUGCCACCGCUCUAUUCGUGCCAUCAGCGUCUCCAGCCUUUGAAUCAGUUCAUCAGCUCUCAUUCUUCAGGUAACAACUCAACUGAAAUUCAAAAAUGUAUUUAUAUAUGGCUCUAAUUUUAGGGGCAGACUAUCAUGAUCAAUUGAUUGCAUGAAUUGAAUAUGGCAUAUUCUUUUGUUUAUCUUUUUUCUAUUCUUGCUGAUUGAUUGGAUUGAAAAUUUAGAUCUUUCAUUGAAACCUUCAGUUGAUGAGAUAUAUGGGGUUCUAUCCUUUGUAUUCUGGACACUAACUUUGAUACCACUUGUUAAGUAUGUCUUCAUAGUGCUUAGAGCUAAUGACAAUAGUGUUGGUUUGAGAUUGAGGUCAGCAUUGGAGUAGCAUAGGUUGUGCAGAGGGUUUUGCUCACUUUGUCUCUGCUUAGGGCUUGUAUGGUGAUUAGGGAUGGAGUUCUUACUCGGGGAUGAGCAGAUGCUUGUUGCUUUAGUUUUUAUGCUGCAAAAGAUUAAGAAAUGUAACAGUUGGAUAUGAUAUGAGAAUUGCUUUUGUUUUACAUCUAUCUUUUCUAUUGGACCUCAAGCUGUUCACGUUGGACAUUGAUGAGCUCAUACAUGAAUUCACUCAGUGUGAAUCGAGUGCUUUUGCUCAAUUCAAAAGAGUGUGGCUUUCGAGGAAGUUUUCCAACAUAUUCAAGGCUAGCCCUUCGACUAAUCAAUGUUUCUUUAUGCAGUCGUUGUAUGCACAUUCCAUCAGUACCAAAAUCUCCCUUGAGCUUCGAUUCUCAACUGCAAAUGUCUCUGCACCUCCAUCUGCUGCUGGAUAGUGUUUCCCUAUUUCUGACCUUCCGAUUUGUCGUGGUUAAAGGCAUGUGAUUGCUGACUUUCUUGGUUUUCAGUUUUGAACACUUAAGUUAAUGGUGUUAACUUUACUACUUAUUUCAACUUCUCUAUUUUUCUAAAGUUAUGAAGGGAUAGGAAUUGCCUUGAAAACUGCAGCAGCAACUUGAGGAACAAGAUCAGAUUUCAAGGAAAAGUGUGGAUACCGUUGUUUCAGGUUUGUGGUGGUGGAUUAAAUGACCCGUGCGUAGAGGCUUGUGAAUUCACAAGAAAAGUUAUACCAGAUGGCUAGCUAGUUGCAUAUUUAAUAUAUUUAGUAUUUUUGUAAGGCAUAAUAGUAUUAGAUAGAGCAUUUGUUGAAUUUUGACUAUAUUCAAAUGAUGUAUGAAUUCUUUUUUAUGAUAAUAAUAUAUGGAUUUUGAUUA